AUACGGGAGGCAGCAGUUGGGAAUCUUGCGCAAUGGGGGCAACCCUGACGCAGCGACGCCGCGUGCGGGAUGACGGUCUUCGGAUUGUAAACCGCUUUUCCCAGGGACGAUAAUGACGGUACCUGGGGAAUCAGCCUCGGCUAACUCCGUGCCAGCAGCCGCGGUAAGACGGAGGAGGCAAGCGUUGUCCGGAAUUACUGGGCGUAAAGCGCUCGUAGGCGGUCGCGUACGGCGGUGGUGAAAGCUCCCGGCUCAACUGGGAGAGGCCCGCCGCAACGGCGUGACUCGAGGAUGGUAGGGGCAGAUGGAAUUCCUGGUGUAGCGGUGAAAUGCGUAGAGAUCAGGAGGAACACCCAUAGCGAAGGCAGUCUGCUGGGCCAUGCCUGACGCUGAGGAGCGAAAGCCAGGGGAGUGAACGGGAUUAGAUACCCCGGU
rnacentral:rRNA from 1 species